ensembl:lncRNA
GUUUUGUUGUAGUCUCUGAUAUUGGUAAUGGUGAGAGGUUAGCAUGUUUUGUUGUAGUCUCUGUUAUUGGUAAUGGUGAGAGGUUAGCAUGUUUUGUUGUAGUCUCUGUUAUUGGUAAUGGUGAGAGGUUAGUAUGUUUUGUUGUAGUCUCUGUUAUUGGUAAUGGUGAGAGGUUAGCAUGUUUUGUUGUAGUCUCUGUUAUUGGUAAUGGUGAGAGGUUAGCAUGUUUUGUUGUAGCCUCUGUUAUUGGUAAUGGUGAGAGGUUAGCAUGUUUUGUUGUAGUCUCUGUUAUUGGUAAUGGUGAGAGGUUAGCAUGCUUUGUUGUAGCCUCUGUUAUUGGUAAUGGUGAGAGGUUAGCAUGUUUUGUUGUAGCCUCUGUUAUUGGUAAUGGUGAGAGGUUAGCAUGCUUUGUUGUAGCCUCUGUUAUUGGUAAUGGUGAGAGGUUAGCAUGUUUUGUUGUAGCCUCUGUUAUUGGUAAUGGUGAGAGGUUAGCAUGUUUUGUUGUAGUCUCUGUUAUUGGUAAUGGUGAGAGGUUAGCAUGUUUUGUUGUAGUCUCUGUUAUUGGUAAUGGUGGGAGGUUAGCAUGUUUUGUUGUAGCCUCUGUUAUUGGUAAUGGUGAGAGGUUGGUAUGUUUUGUUGUAGCCUCUGUUAUUGGUAAUGGUGAGAGGUUGGUAUGUUUUGUUGUAUCCUCUGUUAUUGGUAAUGGUGAGAGGUUGGUAUGUUUUGUUGUAUCCUCUGUUAUUGGUAAUGGUGAGAGGUUGGUAUGUUUUGUUGUAUCCUCUGUUAUUGGUAAUGGUGAGAGGUUAGUAUGUUUUGUUGUAGUCUCUGUUAUUGGUAAUGGUGAGAGGUUAGCAUGUUUUGUUGUAGCCUCUGUAACUGUCACAUUCAUUAUUAUUCAUUGUUCAUUCAUGAUUUUCAUAAUCAUUGCAUCGUCAGGAUUAAUUUAGUUUAGAAUCUAUUCAUCAGAAUGCGCAGCAGGACAUUGUAGUGUUUGUUGUUAACAUUUUCAUUAAAUCGAUUUUAAUCCAAGCUGAAGUUUUGUUGCUAAGGAUUCCACGACGCGGUUAGCCUUUAUGGCUGGGACUGCAAGUUUGUGUUCCUUAAAAAAAAAUUGCUGUGGUGCUAGCUGGCUGUAUUACAGACACCUGACAUCGUCGUGGGAAAGACUCUUAUCUUUUCGUGAAACAACUGGUUGCAGUAAAGAGACAAUUGGAUACCAUGGAGAUCCUGAGGGAAAUCGAUGAGUACCAACAGCUUUACACUAUGGAGGAACAACAUACUCCUUCGUGGACCGACAACCAAAAUAUCUUUAACCCGACAAAAAAAAGAAAAACAGAAUCAUCUACAGAUGAUUUUCUUACCGUUGAAGUAGAGGCCUGGAAAAGUUGUGAGCAGGAGAGGGGGAGUUUGGUUAGCAGAUGUUAUUGGUCAAAUACACAUGGUUAGCAGAUGUUAUUGGUCACAUACACAGGGUUUGCAGAUGUUAUCUGUCACAUACACAUGGUUAGCAGAUGUUGUUGGUCACAUACACAGGGUUAGCAAAUGUUGUUGGUCACAUACACAGGGUUUGCAGAUGUUUUUUGGUUGAGGGACAGCUAUUGUGGUCUUGAUCUUGGAGGGUUCGGGUUCACGUCUUGUGGCCUGGUGGUAGAUCGGUCAACGUGCCCCUGAGCAGGACAUUGACCCUGGAUGCUUCUGUGUGUUGCUCUGAAUGGGAAUCUGUUGGAUGACUGUUAUAGCAAGUAUGUUUCGAAUAUUCAAUAAAUAAAUAAAUAAAAAAUAAAAAAACAUUAUCUUUUCAAUUAGACAGAGAUUAAUCUAGUCAUCAUCCACCAUUAAUUUACGAUUGGGCAAAACAUAUCUCAAAACACAACCAAAACAAACUGCAAAUGCAAAGAGUUUGGGACCAAGUAUUAAACUUUUGACUACUUUAAUAUAAAUUAAUUGGUCAGAAUACUGAUGACCUCUUCAAAUGGGGGGACUAGAGGUCAGUAUUCCUGUAGUUGGUCAACAAGUGAUAACUGUUCACCAGAUCCACAUGUGUUUAUCAGACACACAUAGUCCACACCAUAUGUGUUUGGACAGUGAAGCUUACAGUUUUAAAUUUGGCGCUAUUCUCCAGCAUUUUGGAUUUGAGAUAUAAUGUUUCAUAUUAGGAGACAGUACAGAAUGUCACCUUUUAUUUGAGGUUGAUGGUGAGAGGUUAGUAUGUUACUGGUGAUGGUGAGAGGUUAGCAUGUUUUGUUGAAGCCUCUGUUAUUGGUAAUGGUGAGAGGUUAGCAUGUUUUGUUGUUGUAGCCUCUGUAACUUUCUCACUCAUUAUUAUUCAUGAUUCUUUCAUGAUUUUUCUUAAUCAUGGCAUCAUCAGGAUUAAUUUAUUAUUGUUUAGAAACAUGUUAUCUACUCUCUUAGACAGAAAAGUACUCCACUCAUCAUCCACCAUUUUAUUAUUGGGCAAAACACAACCAAAACAAACUGCAAAUGCAACCAACGAGUUUAAGACAAAAAACUAAAUGUUUUACUAUUUUAAUACACUAUGAGUGAAUUGUUCAGAAUACUUAAGACUUCUUCAAAUGGGGAGACUGGAAACAUAAAUUGUUUUCAUUUUUAAUAGUGAAACACAUAUGUCUUAAAAUACCCUCAAAUUAAAGGUGACAUUAUAAACUGUCACCUCAUAUGAAACAUUUGACCUCAAAUCCAAAAUGUUGGAGAAUAGAGACACAUUUAAAUGUUAGCUUCACUGUCAAAAUAGAUAUGGUGUGGAU